AAUGAACGUUGGCGGCGUGGAUUAGGCAUGCAAGUCGUGCGGAAAGGCCCCGCAAGGGGUACUCGAGCGGCGAAAGGGAUAGUAACACGUAGGUAACCUACCUCCUGGACGGGGAUAGCUGGGGGAAACUCCAAUUAAUACCCGAUGACGUCUUCGGACCAAAGGUGUGAUUCCGCCGGGAGACGGGCCUGCGUCCUAUCAGCUAGUUGGUGAGGUAACGGCCCACCAAGGCUUAGACGGGUAGCGGGUGUGAGAGCACGACCCGCAUCACUGGGGCUGAGACACUGCCCAGACACCUACGGGUGGCUGCAGUCGAGAAUCUUCGUCAAUGGGGGAAACCCUGAACGAGCGACGCCGCGGGCGGGAUGAAGGCCUUCGGGUUGUAAACCGCUGUCAGUGGGAAGGAAAUGCCAGGGGGUUCACCUCCUGGUUUGACCGACCUUCAGAGGAAGGACGGGCUAAGUUCGUGCCAGCCGCCGCAGUAAAAC
rnacentral:rRNA from 1 species